UGGAACGUUGGAUAAAUGUGUCCGUUUCUGUUAACAUCAAACCAGAUAUAGGUUCUUUGUGUACAACUUCCAGAAAUUGUGCUGAAAUUCUCUCUUUUGACCCACCUUUUGUUUGUGAAAACUCUGAGUGCAAAUUAGGUGUUGGAGGAAAGAAUUGCACAACUAGAUUGAGCUCUUGCUUAACAAACGGGCAGUGUACUUCGGAUACUUGUGAAUGCGUUGAAGGCUUUAAUGCAGUGGAUUUGGAUAACAAAUGUCAC